GACGAACGCUGGCGGCGUGCUUAACACAUGCAAGUCGAACGGAAAGGCCCUGCUUGCAGGGUACUCGAGUGGCGAACGGGUGAGUAACACGUGGGUGAUCUGCCCUGCACUUCGGGAUAAGCCUGGGAAACUGGGUCUAAUACCGGAUAGGAGCCAUUUUUAGUGUGAUGGUUGGAAAGUUUUUCCGGUGUAGGAUGAGCUCGCGGCCUAUCAGCUUGUUGGUGGGGUAAUGGCCUACCAAGGCGGCGACGGGUAGCCGGCCUGAGAGGGUGGACGGCCACAUUGGGACUGAGAUACGGCCCAGACUCCUACGGGAGGCAGCAGUGGGGAAUAUUGCACAAUGGGCGCAAGCCUGAUGCAGCGACGCCGCGUGGGGGAUGACGGCCUUCGGGUUGGAAACUCCUUUCGCUAGGGACGAAGCUUUUUGUGACGGUACCUAGAUAAGAAGCACCGGCUAACUACGUG
rnacentral:rRNA from 1 species